GCCAGUCAAUUUCUGACAAACAAUAUAAGGAUUGUAAAGAGAAGUACAAAUAUUUGCCUGUAUCUCUUCAAUAAGGUCGUAGAUUUGUUCCUAGCGAGAGUUUGACAAAAUUUGAGUGGUUUGGCACUUUGAUGCAGUUUAGAAGUUCAGACGACCUGCAUCAUAAUGUAUUGAAAAAGCAUCGAAUCUUGACAGUCACUUUCAUUUGAUUCAUCCGAGGUGUAUGCGGGUUCAUUUAUUUUCCUUCUAAAGGAGACCGCCAAAGCUCUUGUCUGACUCAUAUGCCUUGAAGUAGCAAAGCAGAUUUCUGCUAUCAUCAAGUUGGUCUGUGACCAUAACUGACUCACAUAUGGAAGACUCGUGCUUUUCA